AGCGGCGGAUGGGUGAGUAACACGUGGGGAACCUGCCCCUAAGUCUGGGAUACCAUUUGGAAACAGGUGCUAAUACCGGAUAAUAAAGCAGGUCGCAUGAUCAGCUUUUGAAAGGCGGCGUAAGCUGUCGCUAAGGGAUGGCCCCGCGGUGCAUUAGCUAGUUGGUAAGGUAACGGCUUACCAAGGCGACGAUGCAUAGCCGAGUUGAGAGACUGAUCGGCCACAUUGGGACUGAGACACGGCCCAAACUCCUACGGGAGGCAGCAGUAGGGAAUCUUCCACAAUGGACGCAAGUCUGAUGGAGCAACGCCGCGUGAGUGAAGAAGGUUUUCGGAUCGUAAAGCUCUGUUGUUGGUGAAGAAGGAUAGAGGUAGUAACUGGCCUUUAUUUGACGGUAAUCAACCAGAAAGUCACGGCUAACUACGUGCCAGCAGCCGCGGUAAUACGUAGGUGGCAAGCGUUGUCCGGAUUUAUUGGGCGUAAAGCGAGCGCAGGCGGAAAAAUAAGUCUAAUGUGAAAGCCCUCGGCUUAACCGAGGAACUGCAUCGGAAACUGUUUUUCUUGAGUGCAGAAGAGGAGAGUGGAACUCCAUGUGUAGCGGUGGAAUGCGUAGAUAUAUGGAAGAACACCAGUGGCGAAGGCGGCUCUCUGGUCUGCAACUGACGCUGAGGCUCGAGAGCAUGGGUAGCGAACAGGAUUAGAUACCCUGGUAGUCCAUGCCGUAAACGAUGAGUGCUAAGUGU
rnacentral:rRNA from 1 species